ensembl:antisense 1810013D15Rik RIKEN cDNA 1810013D15 gene
AAACUUUGAAACACUGUUGAACGAAUUUGGAAGGUGUUAAGGAAUAAACAACUGAUUUUAAAAGCUACGGUUUGGAAAAGCUACGAAGAGCAAACACAAUCAGUAUGCUUUUCAAAUUAGCUCCAGACACAAUCACCUUCCAGAACCAAGUGUACACUGCCAGAGGCACAGGGGAAGCGGGUAGCCUCUGAAACACUAACGGGUUACCAUGCUUGCUUGAUUAGUAUUUCUCCUUUUAAAGUAUGUUCUCAGCCUGAGUAUAUUUUAACGAUGUGUUUGUGUGUGUGUGUGUGUGUGUGUGUGUGUGUGUAUUGCACCACAUGCAUACUUGAUGUCUACAGAGGUCAGAAAGGCUGUUGGAUUCCCCUGGAACUGCAUUUGGAAACAGAUGUGAUCUGCGUGUGGGAGAGAAAGCCAAGCCCUGGUGCUCUGGAACCUAAAGACGAAUGUCCCUUCCACCCAGGAAUUUCUCUCUCAGACAUCAUCUGACCUGUGUGCAAAGCUGAGCAUGAGUGACUCCAUACCUCUCAGCUAGAAUAACGGAAAGCACUUAACUUCCCAUCCUUCAGAGUCCAACUAGCUAGAUCUAUGACAGACGCACAGAGUGGCCAAUGAGCAGAAGCACUGAAGAAAACAGACACAGUCUCCUGUUUCCAAGACAGCAAAGAGAACUGCAAAGGAGAACAUACACCCACCUUUUCAAGGAUGUCUGCUUUUCGGCAGAUUGGUCCACGCCCCUCCUGUGCCCAUGAGCUUCCAGAGCUGUGAGGUCUCCCCCACCCACAUUGGGAUCCACCUGUUCCAGACUUCACUUUAUCCUUCUUUGCCUGGAUACCCUGAGGGAAGAAGUGAAAAAUGGAACAACAGAUAAGGAAACAGAAGCAGCAGCUCAGAUAACUUACUUGAGGAGGAUGCACAUUUUUGUAUGGGGAACUUAUAAACAGACACAAGCUGAGAAGGCUAGGCUGACUCCAUGACAGGCUUCAAAUUGACAGUUCAGGAGACAAGGCCUAAAUCUCUGUUUCCAAGAACUGGGUAAGUCCAGGCAAGUCCAGGCCUCAGAAGCUGCCUUGCCACCUGGCCUGAGGCAAGGACAACGAGUCAGCAGCAGUUUUUAGACUUUCUCAGCCAAAAGUUUCCAGACCUCCCCGGCAACAGUUUCUAGCUCCCACACCCCAGAAAUGGUUCUGGAAUGUCCCUAGAGAUGGAGAAAGAUAAAGGUCACCUACCCCCCGAAAUUCCUCUAAUGUGCUUUAAAAUGGGCCUGUGAGCUCACUUGGUUGUCUUUUUUUGGUAAUGGGAGACUCCAACAUGCUGGAUUUCUGCAGAAUAAAACACUCUUUGCAUUUACAUACUAA